rnacentral:lncRNA from 1 species
AAUGUCUCCCAAUGUCCCUUAGUGUCUCAGUGUCUGCCAUAAUGUCUCCCAAUGUCCCUUAAUGUCUCAGUGUCUGCCAUAAUGUCUCCCAAUGUCCCUUAGUGUCUCAGUGUCUGCCAUAAUGUCUCCCAAUGUCCCUUAGUGUCUCAGUGUCUGCCAUAAUGUCUCCCAAUGUCCCUUAAUGUCUCAGUGUCUGCCAUAUUGUCUCCCAGUGUCCCUUAGUGUCUCAAUGUCUGCCAUAAUGUCUCCCAAUGUCCCUUAGUGUCUCAGUGUCUGCCAUAAUGUCUCCCAGUGUCCCUUAGUGUCUCAGUGUCUGCCAUAAUGUCUCCCAAUGUCC